CUGCUGACAGCGCUGCUUAGUCAGCGUCAGGCAAAUCAAGCCACGUCCGUGGCGCGCCAUAAAGUUAAUGGCCUCAGGGGUGAUUUUUUCGGCGGCAAUGAUCA
rnacentral:antisense_RNA from 1 species